UGAUGAUCGAUUAAUAAACACACAGACGGAAAGCAGCAAUGCACCAGACAAACGCCUGGCCAGAAGGGCCUGGUCUGUCUGGGAAUAUCUCAAAAAGGCCCUGCUGUGUCACACCAGCCACCGCAGACGCAAGCUGGGCAAAAUAGCUGGAGAAGUUUAGUUGGCCUCAGCCUUCUACAAUGAGGUCAGCCUCUGUUAGUAAGGAUGAUAAACGUCAGUCAAGAAAGCCAGACUCGAUUUGUGGUGUUUAUUGGCCAAUGAGACUAUCUGGGAAAGCUGAAUGGACCACUCAGUUCAGGGUCAUUCAGCUCAGCCAGGUCCUGAGCAGAGCCAAUAAUGGCCACUGCACAGAUCUGUGAUGAAUAUGUGGAGAACAAGAGAAAAGCAUCCAGUGCUGGGGCUGGCGGUUGCCAUAGCAACCACAUGAUACAACAAGAGAAGGAAGGGAGAGGAGUCAGCCAUUUUGGCUCAACAGUUGGUCCUUCCAUCCCCCAACAUCUGCAGCACCACAAAGAUCACCUGCAAUGGAUGAGGACCAGGAGCAAAGCUUCUUUGGGAGAGCUGCAGUCCUGCUGAAUGUUACCACUCAGACCAAGACAGAGAAUUUUUUCUCUCUGUUCACUCCGAGGAAAAAUUCCACACAACGUCCGGUGCAGUAUCCAAGAGGAGGGCAGGGUGAGCAUGUGAUGUGUCAGUAGUUAAAAUAACAGUGGAAACAAUGACCUGACUCUAUUUGGCAAUAAAUCUUGUUGAAUUUGUGCCUCCUUCAUUUCUGUGUUGUUUUGUGUUUGCCUGUCAUUAUAGUCUGUGCCUGCUUUCAAAGCCAAUUUUUUGUGUAUUUUUCCAUGUGAUUACGAAGGCUUCCAUAGUAACAGCCCAAAGAUGAGUCACUGUGAGUGUGUCCCCUCAGUGCUGGUUAGGCCGUCACUGCAGGAGCAGAGGGGUAGGAGAGCAGGAGGAGGAGUUGCACAUGUGUUGUGCAAUAUGGGAAUCUUUGGUUGUGUAGGAGCCUGAAGGUUGCUGCAUGUGAUCAAUGUGUAUGAGUGGAAACAUGCAUCCCUGUGAUGUUGUUGAAUUCAACACAUCAACUGUACUGUUUAUCUGAAGAACUGCAGGUAGCUAUAUUCACUGUCUGAAUAUCAUCUGUGUCUUCCUCUGGAUGAUUUGCUUGGACACAGCCACAACAUGGAAACAUCAAUGUGGGCAGAGAGGAGUUUAUCAAUAAGUAAAUCUGGCUAGUUGCCCUGCAAACAAGCAGGAACCUAGAUAAACAACCACUGCCCACGCACACUGACUGAUCUGAUAAACAGAUAGAAAUUAGUUUAGAAAAGAGAAGAUGAAUUGAUAGGGAGGAAAACGGCGAUG